rnacentral:rRNA from 1 species
UACGUAGGGGGCGAGCGUUGUCCGGAUUUAUUGGGCGUAAAGAGCUCGUAGGCGGUUCGGUAAGUCGGAUGUGAAAUCUCCACGCUCAACGUGGAGGGGCCAUUCGAUACUGCCGUGACUCGAGUCCGGUAGGGAGUGUGGGAAUUCCCGGUGUAGCGGUGAAAUGCGUAGAUAUGUGGAAGAACACCUGUGGCGAAGGCGGUUUUCUAUUUUAUUCCUGACGCUAAAGCGCGAAAGCAAGGGGAUCAAACAGG